rnacentral:rRNA from 1 species
AGUUUGAUUAUGGCUCAGAUUGAACGCUGGCGGGAUGCUUUACAUGCAAGUCGAACGGCAGCACGGACUUCAGUCUGGUGAGUGGCGAACGGGUGGUAAUGUAUCGGAACGUGCCUAGUAGCGGGGGAUAACUGCGGCGUAGCUAAUACCGCAUACGCCCUUCGGGGAAAGCGGGGGAUACUUCGGGCCUCGCACUGUCGAAACGGCGAUAUCGGAUUGGCUAGUUGGUGGGGUAACGGCUCGCAAGGCGACGAUCGUAGCUGGUUUGAAGGACGACCAGCCACACUGGGACUGAGACACGGCCCAGACUCCUACAGGAGGCAGCAGUGGGGAAUUUUGGACAAUGGGGAAACCCUGAUCCAGCCAUCCCGCGUGUGCGAUGAAGGCCUUCGGGUUGUAAAGCACUUUUGGCAGGAAAAAACGGCACGGGAUAUUACCCCGUGCAACUGACGUACCUGCAGAAUAAGCACUGACUAACUACGUGCCAGCAGCCGCCGUAACCGUAGGGUGCAAGCGUUAAUCGGAAUUACUGGGCGUAAAGCGUGCGCAGGCGGUUCGGAAGAAAAGAUCUUAAAUCCCGAGCUUAACUUUGGAACUGCAUUUUUAACUACCGAGCGCUAGAGUGUGUCAGAGAGGGAGAGUGGAAUUCCGCGUGUAGCAGUGAAAUGCGUAGAUAUGCGGGCCUACGUGCUUGAAAGGCAGCCUCCUGGGAUAACACUGACGCUCAUGCACGAAAGCGUGGGGAGCAAACAGGAUUAGAUACACCUGGUAGUCCACGCCCUAAACGAUGUCAACUGGCUAUUUGGGGCCUUCGGGCCUUGGUGGCGCAACUAACAACGUGAAGUUGACCGCCUGGGAAAUACGGUCGCAAGAUUAAAACUCAAAGGAAUUGACGGGGGACCCGCACAAGCGGUGGAUGAUGUGGAUUAAUUCGAUGCAACGCGAAAACCUUACCUACCCUUGACAUCGUCUGGAAUCCCGAAGAGAUUUGGGAGUGCUCGCAAGAGAACCGGAACACAGGUGCUGCAUGGCUGUCGUCAGCUCGUGUCGUGAGAUGUGGGAUUCAGUCCGCAACGAGCACAACCCUUGUCAUUAGUUUGCUGAAAGACGUUCAUGAGACUGCCGGUGACAAACCGGAGGAAGGUGGGGAUGACGUCAAGUCCUCGUAGCCCUUAUGGGUAGGGCUUCACGUCAUACAAUGGUCGGGACAGGGGGUCGCCAACCCGCGAGGGAGCCAAUCCAGA